rnacentral:snoRNA from 1 species
CUGGCACUUUCACAGGCUUAUCCCCAGGCGGUUGGGCCCAGGAUUUGUAGUUGGUGCUUGGAGAGAAAACCCUUGAUUGGUAUUCUUCCCGUGGGAUUGUACCAGUUGGCACUGGUCACAUCCAAUGGGAUAGAA